AUGUGUCUGCUACUGUACACAGAAAGUUCCCUCGCUGCUACUAACUCACUUAUCCCCAGCUGCUAAAGGACUGUCUGACAAAUUGAAUGUUAAAGAAAAAUAACAAUCAACUGCAGUCGAGUUAACACUUUUCUUUGUUUUUAUUUUAUAUUUGUGCAUAUACAGUAAGCUUGAACAUACCCUAGAAAAGAUAAUUGUAUUCCUGAGUCGUCAGUGGAAUACUAACAACAUGAUGCAGUAAUAGGGAAACAGCUGUCUUCCUAAUAUUGUAUGUGGCAAAAAAAAAAUGCUAUGAUAAGGAGAAAACUGGGUUCAAAAAUAUCUAUCAUUAGUAUAAUGACAUUGAUUGUUCUUAGUUGAAACUCAUUUUGUAGCAAAUUUCAGUUUUCAAAUCCAUUGAGGACUGAUGUGCUGUCAGACAUUUUGGAGUUUCUUAUAUGAAUUUACAGUUGAGUACGUUUUUCUAAACUAAGGCAUCUAUUCAUGAACACAGCUGUCACAAGUAGACACUUGUCACACUCGCACAACACACGCAGUGAUCAUUUUUCAUAUUUUUAUGGAAUUUAAGCCUUGUAUAAUUAUUUCUUUCCUGUUAGAAUUACAUCAGAACUACUUUGUCAAUGUAGGCUGAGUGAUGUGUGAAGUACAUUUUUGUAUCAAAUUAGUGUUUUAGAAACUUUGACUGUUGGCUCAUUCUGUCUGGGUCAUUGAAGACCAACUGGCCUCUUCUGAGCAAGUUUCUUCAUGCUAAUGACUUUAUCCAAUUAGCCUCUAGUCACUAUGGUAACAUAACUCUGAAGACUGUCAGGGUGAGCACUACACUUGGUGGCCAGUUUGGCCAGCAGCCCCCCUGCGCCUUCAUGGCAGCAGUACUUCAACUGUCCCAACAGACCAUCAUCACUCCCGGAUUGGAUAAAUGCUCAACAAAACAGGAACUUUUUAUUUCUUUUUAACUUUCUUAAUUUUUAUAUAUUUUUUUUUUUUUUUUUUUUUUGGCAGUAAGCUCUGUUCUCAUCCUACUUGCCAUUUCAGCAUGGCGUUGGUGUGUAAAGAUGUGCAGUGCUCUGCUUGGGUCUGUUACUACUCUACCUGCAGUACUACUGUACUGCUUGGAAAAUCAAAAGUGUUGUGUAACACUAACCUUAUCUUCAAAAAACAGGGACUUUGCCUCCAUGCAUUAAUUAUCAGUCACACUUCUGCUUUUUUAACAUUUUGAAGCAGCUUUGUGCUGUCAAAUAGCAGUUUCUGAGAUACUUGGUGUAACUAUUUUAUCCAAAGCGUCACCAUCAACUGUGAAUAAACCAUAGAUGUGGGUGUACCACUCUUUGCUUCAGCAUUGAAGAUGCCCCUUUCUCUCCUCAAUCCCACCUCACUGUGUCUCCUCCUGAGUGUGCCAUCGAUGAAGAGCUUUUCCUGCAAGCUCUGUGUGAGGAAGACUCGGAAGACGAUUAUACUGAGGCAGACCCUAUCCUAGAUGACUUGUAUUUCCGGCGAGUGCAGCAGACCCUUCAUCAGACAUCUACCAACCCCAACUAUGACCGCUUCUUACCCCAAUGUUGGACACCUGAAGAGGAGAUUCGUGUGCGCACGAUCUACCUCGGCUCCCAGAGAAGACCCUGGUAUCGUAAAAUGCAAGCCUUAAGCCAUAAAGCUUUGGGUUCUUCUGAGGAAGAGUUUGACUUCCUUUCCUGGCUUGUGACAUCUGCUACCGUACAAAACAUCUCUGCCACAUCCGGAGAGCCUCAAAAGCAUCUCUAAGAAACUCUCUCCAAGCCUGAACAUUAAUUCCUGCCCUGCAGAUCCAUACCUAACGCACACAGUCCCAAACACACACACUGUACAGACACAAGCUCUAACACACUGUCCUACUCGUUAUCUCGUUGUGUACCACAGUGGCAAAGUGCACCUGUUGUUGUUUUUGUAUUUUCAAAUCUCUAACCGAUUACCAAACUACACAAUUGUGGUAAAGACAUGCAAAUUUUGCUCUGUUUAUCAAAAAGAUGUUUUAUGAAGUUAUCAGGAAAAUGGAAUGUGCUUUGAAUUUGUAAUUUUACAUAUUGUUUUCCUAACUACUGCAUGUUGUAUUAUCUGGCACUUACUCUGGGCCUUUUGUUUAUAGUGCUGAUGAUGUGAGGACCAGAACAGCACCAUGCUGAGUGACUCAUUAGUUAAUAAUGAUUAAACGCGAUGAUUCAUGCGUUGUCAUACUUUUUAGAGCCAUAACAGAAUCAUGUUAUUUAUAACAUAUUUUGUGCCAGCACAAAUGUUUUCCAGUUUACUUCAUGUGUGAAUAUGGCUUUGGUGUGGAAAAAUAAAGUGUCAUAGUGGGUCAAUGAAAGUGACCUAAAA